CGCUGAGGACGACCUCAGGCGGCACCAACUCACCGGGGACGGCCCCA
rnacentral:ncRNA from 1 species